CACGUAGGGGGCAAGCGUUGUCCGGAUUUAUUGGGCGUAAAGAGCUCGUAGGCGGCUCAGUAAGUCGGGUGUGAAACCUCCAGGCUCAACCUGGAGACGCCACCCGAUACUGCUGUGGCUUGAGUCCGGUAGGGGAGCGUGGAAUUCCUGGUGUAGCGGUGAAAUGCGCAGAUAUCAGGAGGAACACCGGUGGCGAAGGCGGGUCUCUGGGCCGAUACUGACGCUGAGGAGCGAAAGCGUGGGGAGCGAACAGG
rnacentral:rRNA from 1 species